GUUUUUAAAUAAAAAUUGAAAAAUUUUGGCAUUAUAUUGUUUUGAAAUCUAUUGUAUUUUUUUCAUUUCUAAUUGAAACUCUGUAAAGAGUUGAGAUGUUUAGUUAUUGAGCGUGGCAAAAAUGAUAUUGAAACUGCAAAAACUAUUGAAAGUAAAAAAACAGUAAAAAAACUAGCAAUUUUCAAGUUGGAGAUGUGAGUUAUAAAGCUGACGGAGAAAUGCUACAGAUUAUUACCAAGGAGUACUCUCACCAGGAAUAGAAGCAAUAAUAUAGAAGUUUCAAUAGAUGUAGAAAUAGAAAUACCAACGAAAAUGACAGAUAAUGAAGCUGCUACUCGAAUUUGAAAAGCCUCAUAUUUUUCCAGUCUUAGAAUUACAUGUACAUACAUACAUUCGUAAACAUGUGUUUUGGUUAAAAUUUUUGCAAAUAUCAAAACAAUGUUUUUUACUACGAUUCUUUAGCGGUUGAUAUAACUUUUAGAAGCCUUACAUAUAUACUACGUCAAGUAAAGAUGAAAUGGUGGAGCAAAACCUGACGGGCUUCGAGCAAAAUUGAGGGAAAAAUCAUUUAUGUGGCCAUCCCUUACAAAUUUUUAAGGAAAUAUCAACUCUUUUGAAAGAAAGUUUAAAGAAAUUAGAGAAGCAUAUUGGUUUAUAUUAGGAUAUUCGAAAAGAGAAUUCAAAAAAGGAGAAGAAGUACAAUACUACGGAGCACCAAAUAGGAGAACAAAUAUUCUGAACAAAGUAUCACGGCGGCCAUGGAUUAGUUUAUGUGUUUUUAAAAUUCAUUGCUGAACUGAAAAUUCUCAGGAAAAACAGAAAACUUUCUUACGUCAAGUAAUGAAAAAAAUCGGAAGUGGAAGUACCAAUCAUAUUGCCAAUUUUUUCAUAUUUCCUAUAUGACUAAUUGGCAGCAUCUAAUGUUCAAAGUCAGUAUUUAUGUUGAAAACAGAACAAGAGCGAUUUUCGGCGGUAAAACGUCAGAAUAUAGGAUACACAUAUGUAAACAAGACUGCCCAAAUUCAAGAGAACUCAAUGAAAACCGUGAAAUAAGCUGUUGUAAAGUGUGUAUCACUUUAUAUCACAAUACUGCACAUUUCAUCCACUGCUGUUCUGGGUUGAGAACAGAAGUCGUUCACCGAUGCCGUGCACAGCUUUGCUGAAUAAUACAUAAUAAUACGUCUUCACUUAUUACGUUUACCAGAAAAGUUAUAACUGGAUUUUCAAAAACACAGUUUCUUUUAUGAUUACUUCAAAUUUGCGGGCAUGUUAACAUAUUCAUUUUCUUCAUAAUUUCUGUAAAAGACAGGAAAAAAUGAAAAAAUCAAAAAAGACAGUGAGAUCAGUAAUAAGGGAUUAAAAUUUCACUUUGUUUUAUUUGAUAAAAUUUCUCAACCUCUUUUGCAAAUAGAACCAGCGUAAAAAGGAAACUGCUACAUUUUGCAUUACGGGAAAUAGCGCAUUAUGAAAAAAAGCAACAGUAGUUAAUUGACUUAAAAUGAACUUGGAACUCAAGCUGCGUUUUUACUAUGUCAUCUUGAAAGCCCGAAAAUACGUACAGCUAUUACAUUUAAAGCCAUUUUUAACACAUUUUAAGUCAAGUAAGAAAACUUUUUGAUUAGCUUGAGUGAAGUCGGCUUCAAGUACGUUCGAAGCAUUCAUUACUGACGUAACAAAAAUAUGUCGGUCGUACUGCCAUAUAACCGGGGUAAAUGUCAAUUUUUUUUAAUGUAAUGUAAAUUAAGAGCUUUCAUUAAACAUUAUACAUUGUUUUGAGAUAUUCCAUAGGGCUUCCACAAAUCCUCGCCAAUACUCUCUUUUUUGCGCUAUUCUUUUAACUUCUGGAUUCUUCUCCAAGUUGUUCUUGGUCUACCAAUACUCCUUUCUCCUUACGGAUUCCCCUCAAGGGCCUGGCGCGCCAAUGAUGUUGUUGGCCGCCUCAGAAUGUGGCUUGUGCAUCUCCACUUUCUUCUCCUUAUCUGGACACAGACUAGUUCUUGUUUUGUAAUUACCCAUAAUUCGUUCAUUAUUCUUCUGUCCCAGAAGAUGCGGCACAUAAUUCUGAGACACUUGUUCAGGAGUACUUGUAAUUUUUUAAUGUUGAUUAUUGACACAAGCCAUGUCUCACCUCCCGUAGACCAGCAAGAUUAUACGCAUGCAUCAUAUAUUCUGAUCUUGAUUCUUCUUGCCAUUUGUGUCCAUCUCCAUACCACCCAACAAGUAUCCAAAUUCUGCUACCUCAAUUUGGGUAUUUUGUAAGUACAUAUAUUGACUUGUAGCAUUUAUUCUUGACUGGGUUUAUGCGGAGACCAAAAGCUUCUACCUUUACUCUAAGCUCGUUGAUGGUUAUUUGCAUUUUUUUUAACUGAGCAGCUCAAUAUGACUAUCAAUAUCUCUGGCGUAUCUGCCAGGUUAUUCCUCGCCUGUGCGCUACUAUUCCUUUCAUGUACUUGUCGAGCACAGUGAAGAAUAGUAAUGAGGACAGGGGGUAUCCUUGUCCGUCUUCUGCUAUUGUUGUUAUUGAAGCACCUAGUCUACCGUUGUGCAAUACUACUGUUUCUGCAUUUUCAUAUAGGGACUUUACUAUAUUUAAGAUUUUUACAGAAAAUCUGUGUCUCCAUAGGUUAGCCUGUUCCAUUCCACUAACUGCUCGAUAUUUUGGCAUACUCUGCGCACCGAACGACCUUGCCAAAAACCUGCUGUUCUUUUCUGAUUCACGCAUCUGAUUUUCCCAAUAUUCUGGAAAAUAUUAUUAGGGCUAGAAUUCUAAUUACAACGCUGUUGUGUUGUAAUUCCUCUCAAGUUUCUGCAUUGCGACCUGGGAUAAUUAUGUAUAAUUGUGCCAGUUUUCCGAUCAUUUGCAAUAUUUUCUUCGUGCCUUAUCUUGUAUAUUAUUAGCCUUAAUGCAGUUGCAGAAGUGUACUCCAGUCUUCAGUAGGUAUGUCAUCGAUAGCUUCGGUCCUAUUUUUCUUUAAUUUUCUUGUAGCCGCUAAUAUUUCACUUAAUUUUGAGGGGCCCCGAUUGAUUGUGGCAUCCUCUCUGAAAUUUAUGACUGGUUCUUCUUCUAUGUCUGCUUCUUGGGUGUUCGUUUCUGCGAAGUAUACUUUCCAUCUAUUCAGUUCUUCUUCAGUGGAGGUUAUUAUCAUGCCAUUCUUGUUUCGCACUAGCAUUUGUUACUACAUGCAGUACUGGAUUCAAUUUCGUUUC